rnacentral:rRNA from 1 species
AUGCUCGUGUUUGGAAGCACUGACCCGGAGGAGCACCCAAGGUUAACCUCCAUAGCCAUGGAGCUGGCCCUCGAGAUGGAUGGAUCUUUCAGCUCCGUAUAUCUUGUUGCUACCUUACUGAGGGAAAAUCUCAGUGCCUGGUUCUGGUGCAGGGUUCUCAGAACCAAUAGGAAGUACAUGCAGAAGAAUGCAUUAUCGCUCGGUGAAUAUUAUGAUGUGUUACCAAAAUGGGCCUGCUGCUCAGGGCGAAGUUCCGAGGAUAAUAGUGGCAGAUGUUCUAUUCAGGAGAUGGAGCACUGUGCCGCGGGGUAA